UCUGCAUAGCAUAUGUAUAUACUUAUUAUAUAUUAUCUUCAUUUUGCUUCAUUGUUUUUCUGGUUUGUUUUGAACAGGAGAAUGGUGUCUCUGCAGUGAGCCAAUGAAAACACAGAGGUGUUUCUGAGCAAGCCAAUCCAUUGCUGACAAUUCUCUGCAGCAGCUCCCUUGUCACAGAGAGGGAGUGGUAGAUAGCCAGUGAAGAGAGAACCUGAGGCUCCAAUAAACACACUGCGACAUCGAAGAGAGGAGAACAGUCUCACCAGCUUUUAUUGCAGGCAAGUAAAUGCUUAAAUGACUAAAAACGUAGGCAUCAUGACGCCCAGACUACAGCAGCUUUAGCAAGUGUAGUAGUGUUUCCACUUUCCUGAAAUGAUGCUGUUAACUGCAGUUGUAGCUGCAGAAUGGAACAGGAAUCAGCAUGGAAAAUAUUGCGUAUGAGCUAAGGUAAACUGUGUGAGUCCUGUUUAAAUUCCUCAUAGACAGCUGUUGAGCCUCUAGUGAGUUAGCUGUUCACUGCUUAUAUUUGGUGGCUAUCAAGGAUUGAUGCCUGCAAGAUGUUCCUAGAAAGCAAAGAAGGCUACUCUAUAACCCUGUCUUCUGUGGGAUAUGGCCACUGUUUUUUUCUUUUAAAUAAGCACGUUUAGUCGCAAAGCAUGCAUUGCUCUAAUCUAUGAUCAGUAGCAACCAUAAUUCUUGCUACCUUUUCAUGUGUUCAACAAAAGAACUGCGUGCUACAUUUAAUCCUUAUCUGGGAGGGGUGGAGCUACGCCGUUGACUUAUGGGAAAAAAUUUUAUUGCAUUGCGCAUUGAAUUUUAACUCCAGCAGCAGAAAGGUUGGAAACUGCUAAAUAUUUAACCCAUAAAUUCUUUUGUUAGCUAAUGCAGUAUAGUAGGGCUGGUGUUGACAGUAUGAAGCUGAUAUGCUCUCUUCAUUCAUUUCCUUUAAGCCCGGCAACAAAUACUUAGUAAGCUUUCUAUACGAAGCAAAUGUUUUCUCGUUGGUGAGGAUAUAUACAUUUGUUGGGAAGGCAUGUGAUAAUGUCAUUCCACGCAUUUCAAUAAUAACAGUGAAGUUGUAGCCUGCGUGUAGUUAGUUAACACUUGAGGGUGACGUGACCGUGGCUGAUAAAUUGGCAUAGGAAGGGUUAGGAGCAGCGAAAAUCUGUAUCAGGUGCAUGCGAUGCAGCACCAGACUUGUUACACAGUCGCCAUAUUGGUGUACGCCUUUACCAUUAAAUUAGUCUUAUAAAUUAGUUUUUAAGUACAUUAUUUAUUACUGGUUAGGCUUAAUGCAUUAUUUGAUAUAGCCUCUUAAUAUGGUAUCAGUAAAUCUGACUUGAUUUUUCAAAGUUUUAGGCUUUGUCAAUCACGUUGUCAGUGUUAGGAAUAGAUUCCUAAUCAGUUUUGCUUGGGCUAUAUGUCAAGGUGUGGUUUUCCACCUGUUGAAGUUCAGCUUUCAGCAUCCUUCAGCAUGCUGUGCCUGUUGGGAUAUCAUAGGAUUUGUCAUUUAAUAACCGCUAAUAUGUGGUGAAAAGCCUGGAUAAAUGACUACACUUUCAUUUAAAGGGGGAUCCACCCAAAUAUGUUUUUUGGAAUUGUAAGCUAUUUUCCAAUAUACAUUAAACAGUUUAAUUGGUUUUAAAUAUAUUUGUAGUUGUAACUGCUACUGAAAGCAGUAUCUGUCCGGCUGUUUGUAUUCUUUUCACUACAGGUUCCGACUCUUGAAAGGCAGAACAGACCUAGAGAAGAAGUGAAUUCUGCUACAUUUUUCAGAUCCAGAGCCAGAGGAAAGAAAGGGAUAAACAAAAACUCUUUUAAAUUGCAAUUCCAUUUAAAAAUAUCUUUGAAACCAUUAGUUCUGUCUAAUUAAUGUAUAUUGGAAACACUCCUUUUAAUUGCAUUUACUGUACAUAUGUCCCAUUUAAAACCUUCAGCAAUUUGGCAGCCAAAAAACUUUACUUACAGCCUGGGUCAGUAUAUACUGUAUGUAUAUCUUUCUAAAUCGCUACUUAUGUAAGCAGCGCUAUACUGUGAGUAAUUCCUAAAUAAAGUGACACUCCCAUCCUCCGCAUAGCACAAAUAUUGUAACUACUAGUUUUUGCAAGCUAGCAUUUUAGGGUGCCACAUAGCCAAAAGGGGACUGCUUCAAAGGUCCAGGCUUCCUUUGGUAUUUAAAGUGCCCAUCGGUGUGUGAAGGGGCAGGGGCAUUUUUUAAAAAACAGAAAAACAUACCACAAAUGGAAAAUAGGGAGAAUGGAAGAUCUAAAGAGAAGAGUCAAUUGCAAAA